rnacentral:antisense_RNA from 1 species
CUCGAUGGGCGGGCCGUGACGAGGGAGCCGCAAGGCUCGCCGGUUGUCUCAAUCCCGGUCUGUCAACCUCAUCAUCGUGCCCGCUCACCCCU